UAUGAUUGAAAUACUUAUUACAUCCAGAAGGUGGCAGUAAGAAGAAAAUUCAAAUGCUUCACACUACACGUGCGCAAACUCUGAAUCAACUUUCUUGUUUUUGCCGGUGAACUUGCCAACGGUCGUCACCAUUUGUCUGCGUUUCUGGCUUGAGAGAGAGCAGUAGCCAGUGCAUGAUAAAACUACACUACCUUCGGUCUGCUUUUACCCCGCCGACCCCCAGGCAGACUGACUCAUUUGGAUGAUGGCUGCACCAGUAAAACUACGGAUUAUCCUUGGUUCCAACAAUGCUGAAAAACUGACCAUAGAAUCAGGCAUGCCAAUGUCUGUUGAGGAUCUUGCAAAUGAGAUCAAACGUCAGUUUGAUAUAGAGGAGGACAUUAGACUCCAGUACAUGGACAGUGACUUUGAUAACGA